AGCGAACGCUGGCGGCAGGCCUAACACAUGCAAGUCGAACGAACCUUUCGGGGUUAGUGGCGGACGGGUGAGUAACACGUGGGAACGUGCCUUAAGGUUCGGAAUAACUCAGGGAAACUUGUGCUAAUACCGAAUGUGCCCUUCGGGGGAAAGAUUAAUCGCCUUUAGAGCGGCCCGCGUCUGAUUAGCUAGUUGGUUGAGGUAAUGGCUCACCAAGGCGACGAUCAGUAGCUGGUUUGAGAGGAUGAUCAGCCACAUUGGGACUGAGACACGGCCCAAACUCCUACGGGAGGCAGCAGUGGGGAAUCUUGCGCAAUGGGCGAAAGCCUGACGCAGCCAUGCCGCGUGAAUGAUGAAGGUCUUAGGAUUGUAAAAUUCUUUCACCGGGGACGAUAAUGACGGUACCCGGAGAAGAAGCCCCGGCUAACUUCGUG
rnacentral:rRNA from 1 species